CGGUGAAGCGGUUUUCUUCGACCAAGCCAGAAAUAGAGGGAGACAGGGACGAGGACAGAAACAGAGGAUAGAAAUCGAAGGGCUGAUCAAUUUCAAUGAGGGAGCAUAACUGAAACCGAGAGAAGGAGCAGAAACUGUCGAUCGAGAGGGAUUGGUCAGCGACAAAAUUGGGAAGAAACAAAAAGCCGAUGGGAGCUCUCGGUCGAUUUUCGGAGGGAGAUCUAAGGUCCGAUUUUCAGAUUCUGGGAGGCGAUUUUGGAGACAAUUUCUAGGGUCCUUCCUUAAUUUCAACUCUGCAAACUUUUUAAUUAAGCAAGGGAGGGGUUGGCGAUGGGAUCGGGCUGCAUGGCUUCCUGGACUAACUCGGAUUGUUCUUUACCAUGAACUCCGUAGAAUCCGGUUGCAGUAGCAGCAGAUGGAGCACGACCCACGUAUUUGAUGUUGUCUAUGUUACCUCUUCCCACCUCCUUCAUGGAGGUAGCAAGACGAGGAGCAAUGUAAGUGUACGCCCCCAUAUUCAUUGGCUCCUCCUGGCACCAAACGAUUUCCGCAUCUGAAUCACACACACAAACAACACUUUUAAUUAAUCAUCUCUAUUACCUAAUUCAUAAUUAAGUGAAUUAUAGUUAUGGAUAUUGUUUCAGCAACAAAACAGUAGAAAUAAAUAUUCAUCAGAUGUAUAUGCAUUAAUAUGAGCAUAUUCACAUGUGAUUAUAUAUUACCACCUACUUACUUGGGUAA